rnacentral:rRNA from 1 species
AUACGUAGGGGGCGAGCGUUGUCCGGAAUCAUUGGGCGUAAAGCGCGUGUAGGCGGCCAUCCAAGUCCGAUGUGAAAGCUCGGGGCUCAACCCCGAGUCUGCAUUGGAAACUGGAUGGCUUGAGUCCGGAAGAGGAGACUGGAAUUCCUGGUGUAGCGGUGAAAUGCGCAGAUAUCAGGAAGAACACCGGUGGCGAAGGCGGGUCUCUGGGACGGUACUGACGCUGAGACGCGAAAGCGUGGGGAGCAAACAGGAUUAGAUACCCUGGUAGUCCACGCCGUAAACGAUGGGCACUAGGUGUGGGAGGUGUCGACUCCUUCCGUGCCGUAGCUAACGCAUUAAGUGCCCCGCCUGGGGAGUACGGCCGCAAGGCUAAA